rnacentral:rRNA from 1 species
UGGGGAAUAUUGCACAAUGGGCGCAAGCCUGAUGCAGCAACGCCGCGUGAACGAUGAAGGUCUUCGGAUCGUAAAGUUCUGUUGCAGGGGAAGAUAAUGACGGUACCCUGUGAGGAAGCCCCGGCUAACUACGUGCUAGCAGCCGCGGUAAUACGUAGGGGGCUAGCGUUAUCCGGAUUUACUGGGCGUAAAGGGUGCGUAGGUGGUCUUUCAAGUCGGUGGUUAAAGGCUACGGCUCAACCGUAGUUAGCCUCCGAAACUGGAAGACUUGAGUGCAGGAGAGGAAAGUGGAAUUCCCAGUGUAGCGGUGAAAUGCGUAGAUAUUGGGAGGAACACCAGUAGCGAAGGCGGCUUUCUGGACUGCAACUGACACUGAGGCACGAUAGCGUGGGUAGCAAACAGG